rnacentral:tRNA from 1 species
GGGUCGUUAGCUCAGUUGGUAGAGCAGUUGACUAUUAAUCAAUUGGUCGCAGGUUCGAAUCCUGCACGACCCACCA